rnacentral:tRNA from 1 species
CAAAUCAUGAUUUAGAAUCAAUUUUUAUUUACAUUAAAGAUUUAAUUGUGCAAUUCAAUUUGGUUUGA